rnacentral:rRNA from 1 species
UACGGAGGGUGCAAGCGUUAUCCGGAUUCACUGGGUUUAAAGGGUGCGUAGGCGGGUAAGUAAGUCCGUGGUGAAAUCUCUGAGCUUAACUCAGAAACUGCCGUGGAUACUAUUUGCCUUGAAUAUUGUGGAGGUGAGCGGAAUAUGUCAUGUAGCGGUGAAAUGCUUAGAUAUGACAUAGAACACCAAUUGCGAAGGCAGCUCACUACAUAAUCAUUGACGCUGAGGCACGAAAGCGUGGGGAUCAAACAGG